GUGACGAGAGAGUGACUUUGCUGAGGACAGUGAUGCAGCACAUGCUUUGCAGAGUUCCUGUUCCAAAGAGAAAAAUCUGAUGAUUGUCUCUCUUUCCUUCUUAAGCCAGAAAUCCCUCUUGCUGACAUUGACAUUAUCAGUGCCGGGUUUUGAGUUACACUGGGACUGCAGUGAGGAAGAGCUUGGCACAUCCGUGAUCUGGCUCUUCAACACGGUCAAACCCUGAAGACGCGUAGCAGAGGAAGAAUAGCAGCAGCCAGCUGAGUACAGUGUUUGUGAGCCUGCCCCUACCUGUCCUGGCACCCAGUUGGCACACCUGUCACCUAAGAGCCCACUUGGACCACAUGGUCUGGCAAGUCUUUGCCAGCUGCAGUGCUAUGAAAGGAGCAGGAGGAAGACAGAAAUAAAUACUCGAUCUCCCCAGGACUUCAUUUUUCUUUACAAACACUAGCUCUUACUACCUACCAGGCGCUUCCCGUUCUAAAUGCGUUACAAAUAGAAACUUUUUCCAUUUUCGUUGACCCUAGAAGUGGGUGUAUUAUUAUCAUCUUCAUUUUACGGAGGAGGAAACUGAGGCACAAAAAGCUUAGGUAACUUGCCCAGUGUCACACAGCUCUUAGGUAAAUCAUUUGAAAUUGACAAUAUGGGACAAUUUGUGACCUAUAAAAUGAUUACAAGUGCUUAACUGUAAUAGCAAGUGGAGAUGCAGAGAUUUCAGCUCACAUAAACUGACUCCAGAACCUGUGGAUUGACACAUGAUGGCCUCUCUUUAUCUCAUUCCCUGCCCCUUCCCAGCCAUGGAAUUUCCAAGCCCUUUGAUCAGGUGGUACUUUGGCCACUGGUCUUUCAGGAAAGCAUGAUCCCAGCAUGUUAUCAAAUUAUAUCUUGAUUUAUCUCUUCUCUCUGCCUCUUCUUGACGUCUCCCAUUUCCAUUCAGACUUCUGUUCUAGGGAACUUAAGUGCUUAUGUGGUCUUGCUUUUUUACAUGAUUGGGUGAAGGGCUGCCCAAACCAGACUAUUUUGAAUUUGCCCUUUGGGGAUUUGCUCUUUGGGGAUCUGCAGGUGGAUGCAAGGAGGCAUGCUUAGCACAGAGUCUUCUUACUGAAUAACUGUCUCUGUGGUGGCCUUUGCCUCCUUGGUUCACAAGUCCACAGCUGACUUUUCCUUUGGCAAGAUAGCUAACUGUCAUUAGCUCCACUUACUUCCAUCCUUUCUAGUUGCUUCUUAUUUAUCCCUCUCCUUUUGACUCAUUUUUCUUGUCUCUGUUAUUCUCUGCCAUCCGCCCGCCCUUUCUCCAGUACUAUAGACAGUCUUAUUCUCACAUAUCAUUUUGCCCUCAGAAGGCUCUGGUGGUGCUUAAUGUUCUUCUGAGUCAAAACUCUAAAUGGCUUUCCAUACCCUUCUUCACCAGGAGAUGUUCCUGGUUAAGCCCAUGGAUCCUCUUAGAUGGGCAAUUUUUGUUCAGGGCUGUAUGAUCAAGACCAAAAAAAAAAAAAAAAAAAA